AUUGAACGCUGGCGGCAGGCCUAACACAUGCAAGUCGAACGGUAGCACAGAGAGCUUGCUCUCGGGUGACGAGUGGCGGACGGGUGAGUAAUGUCUGGGAAACUGCCCGAUGGAGGGGGAUAACUACUGGAAACGGUAGCUAAUACCGCAUAACGUCGCAAGACCAAAGUGGGGGACCUUCGGGCCUCACACCAUCGGAUGUGCCCAGAUGGGAUUAGCUAGUAGGUGGGGUAAUGGCUCACCUAGGCGACGAUCCCUAGCUGGUCUGAGAGGAUGACCAGCCACACUGGAACUGAGGCACGGUCCAGACUCCUACGGGAGGCGGCAGUGGGGAAUAUUGCACAAUGGGCGCAAGCCUGAUGCAGCCAUGCCGCGUGCAUGAAGAAGGCCUUCGGGUUGUAAAGUACUUUCAGCGGGGAGGAAGGCGGUGAAGUUAAUAGCUUCACCGAUUGACGUUACCCGCAGAAGAAGCACCGGCUAACUCCGUGCCAGCCGCCGCAGUAA
rnacentral:rRNA from 1 species